GCCAAAAUUCACUUUACUCAUUUUGCGCUGCCUUAUAGCUCUAUAUAUUGGUGAAAUGGCGGCAUUAUAGAUUAAACGCGACAAUGCGUGAGUGGGUCGUGCAGCGCAUGCGUUAAUUGCAUUAAAUAUUUUAACGUGAUUAAUUUAAAAACAUUAAUUACCCCCAUUAACGCGAUAAAUUUGAUAGCCCUACUUUAAGCCAAAACUAAAGACUCUGGAUGAGUGUAAGACAUUUUUUUCUGUAACGUUAAAUACAAUUAGAAAACGAUUUAAUCAAAAUAUAUAAAUAUUAAAAAAAGGCAUGUCCGAUAUUUUUUUGCCGAUUCCGAUACUUUGAAAAUGACUUGAUCGGACCCAAUCGAUCGGCAUCCCGAUCUUUAAUUCUAAUUAACAUUAAAAUAAUGCAGUCAUUUAGAUGAGGCUCCAUAAAAAGCAGGUGUGUAUGGAUCAUUUUUGUAUUAUACACACACUCAACACAGACAGUUGCCACAGAGGAGAAAAACACAUUUUACCACCGUUAGACACACUAAACACGCUGGAGUUAACUCUCGUAGCUGGUGGGAAAUAUCCAUGACAGUGUUUACUAGACCUUUAAUUUUGUAUAAAUGUGAAAUCAUAUUGGAGGUAUUGCCUCCUGAGCAGCCACCCUCUUCAAACAUGUUUUACAUGUCGGUUGGCCCUCCUCUAAGCCGCGGCCGUCUAUAACUUUUCUGUAGCCAAAGUAUUCCCAUAACAGCGAUUUGGUUUUCUUCGAUUUCUCCUCAAGCCGUCGUGUAGUACAACUGACUCACUGACAAUAAGCAACAACCGGUGGAGGAGGGUUGAGCCUUGCAGCUGCAAGCGAGGGAUUUCUCUUGUCACCUUUUUGUGCGGUUUUGAAAUCUUGACGUUUUCAUACCAAAGUAUACCUUGAAACCGGUAAUUGGCACAUGUCUACUUCAGUGUAAAUGUGGACGUUUGAUGGAAAAUUUUAAAACAAAGAUUUGGACAAUAUAAGAAAAAAAAAUAAUGUGGAUUAACAUGGCAAUGCAGAUGACAGUUAUCCAAUCCAUCGAAUGAUCACUGUUCUUUGUUCUUGGUCUCUAAUCGAAUGAAAUUGAUUGAAAUGAAAAAUGUGAUUUAUACACCAUUGCAACUGGUAUAUAGUUUUUUUCCCCCUCUUCAUUGUGCAUUUUUUGGCUGCUGCAAUUUAUAAUCGAGUGUGAUUUAUUGUACGAAAAAUACAGUGUUUUGAUCUGCUGUAUCAAACUCUGCAAGCACUGAGCACCAAUAAGGACAAACUUAUAUCUUUCCUUAGUCAGAUUUCAAACUUAUAUCAUUUAACACUUUGAUGGGAUGUAAUGUCAUACUUCAAUUAUCAGGGUGCUUCUUAGAUCAGAGGUGUCAAACUCCUUUUGAUUCGUGGGCCACAUUUGUGGAAAUCUCGUGGGCCGGACUAGUUUAUUUUUACACAAAAAAGUUAACUCACUGGCUGAGAUUAACUGUGCUAGACGUCCAAUUCAUUUUGACUGGGAGGGCAGGCAGCAUCGGAGUUACAUGUCAAAGGGGUUCCGCAGGGCUCAAUCUUAGAACUCCUGUUGGUCAUGUUUAUCUAUUACUGUUAAUGUUCGUGUUAACGUUCAUUCACCGCGCCCAGUCAAAACGGAUUGGACAUCGAGCGCCAUCAAUGGCACUGUGAGAAUUCACAUCCAGUCCUUCCAGUUUAUGUGAAUUGGAUGUCUAUCAGUUAUGGCAGGCAAUGAGUUAAUUUACGUCACUUUCAUGUAAUUUUAAGAUACUGACAAGCAGUGUUGUUAAUUUUACUUUAAAAAAGUAAUUAAUUACAGUUACAAAUUACUUCUCCCAAAAAGUAAUUGCGUUAGUAACUCAGUUACCUGAAUGUAAGAGUAAUUAGUUACUUGGCAAAGUAACUAGUGAUAUUUUUUUUUUUUCUCAAAAAAAAACAAACAAAAAAAAACAAAACAAAACAAAAAACAGGUCACACAAUGUGAAGCUUAAAGGGUUUGGGGGACAAUUGGCCCAAGCCCAAUUCUUUACCCUCCACUUAACUAGACACAAGGGUAUUGCGAUAACUAGCUAGUAACCUUUGCUAUGUGUGGAAGUCAUUUAAAGUUGUGAAUCAAUCGUUAAAGUUGUUAAAAUUUCUCCCGUUAUUGCAUUAGUUCCCUUCUGUCUACUUUAAACAUGUGUAAGUUUUAAAACUGUUUCAUCAUUUAAAGAUAGAUUUAAGUUAAGAUUUUGCCGAUUUAGGAGCAUUUUAGAUUUAAAAAAUUUACUUAGGUUCGCUAGGAAGGAUCUCUACAUCAGGGCCUUCCUGAGAGGUCUACUGCUUUAAGAUGGCGGCUGUUUACAAACGCAUGUAGUCCUUAAAACAUGUUGGCAAUGCAGCAGUGUCUGUCAUCUGCAUCUAGUUCUAUAAUAUGAUAUCUACCGUGUCAUGUGGGCGUAGUUUGUCGGCUAUGGCUGCAGUCAGGUAUAGGGAAUGGGACGUACUACGUCAUUGUUUGGACCCGCCUCCAUGCUGGCAAUAUAAUUCACUUCCGGGCCGGCAGAGUCAAUGCGGAUUGUAACGUGUGAUAGUGCUAAGCUAACUCUUUCGGUGUUUUAGAAAGAAAAUAUGGGUGCUUUAUUGUUGCGUUACCGGGUGCAACAGCGUCUCCUACGACAAAAAAAGGGGUGAGGAAAAAUGGACUCACUUUUCACCGUUUUCCUGCAUGGAGGACCAAAUAUCAGAUCACGAAGGUACGACGGAUGGCUGGAUUGCAGCGGUUCGUCGGAAAAGCAUUUCUUAUAAUCAUAUUUCUGCUGGAAUGAGAGUGUGUUCCUGUCAUCUCUACUCUUGUAAACCUGCUGACAACACAUCCCGAUUGGUCACCAUCUCUCUUCUUGGAUCAUUUGACAAAGAAAAUUUGUUCAAUGGAGUGGUUCCAUUUGUCCUGUGUCGGACUCAAACAAGCCCCUGCAGCAGACGCCAUCUGGGUCUGCCCUUCUCGUCGAUGAACUGCGGGCUUUUAACUUGUGAAAAUGCAAGAACUUUAAUGCACAUAUUUAUUCUGCCUGGCUAUUUAACUAUGGCCAGUGACGUUUUUUUUUUUUUUU